GACGAACGCUGUCGGCGUGCUUAACACAUGCAAGUCGAACGGAAAGGCCCUGCUUUUGUGGGGUGCUCGAGUGGCGAACGGGUGAGUAACACGUGAGUAACCUGCCCUUGACUUUGGGAUAACUUCAGGAAACUGGGGCUAAUACCGGAUAGGAGCUCCUGCUGCAUGGUGGGGGUUGGAAAGUUUCGGCGGUUGGGGAUGGACUCGCGGCUUAUCAGCUUGUUGGUGGGGUAGUGGCUUACCAAGGCUUUGACGGGUAGCCGGCCUGAGAGGGUGACCGGCCACAUUGGGACUGAGAUACGGCCCAGACUCCUACGGGAGGCAGCAGUGGGGAAUAUUGCACAAUGGGCGGAAGCCUGAUGCAGCAACGCCGCGUGCGGGAUGACGGCCUUCGGGUUGUAAACCGCUUUCGCCUGUGACGAAGCGUGAGUGACGGUAAUGGGUAAAGAAGCACCGGCUAACUACGUGCCAGCAGCCGCGGUGAUACGUAGGGUGCGAGCGUUGUCCGGAUUUAUUGGGCGUAAAGGGCUCGUAGGUGGUUGAUCGCGUCGGAAGUGUAAUCUUGGGGCUUAACCCUGAGCGUGCUUUCGAUACGGGUUGACUUGAGGAAGGUAGGGGAGAAUGGAAUUCCUGGUGGAGCGGUGGAAUGCGCAGAUAUCAGGAGGAACACCAGUGGCGAAGGCGGUUCUCUGGGCCUUUCCUGACGCUGAGGAGCGAAAGCGUGGGGAGCGAACAGGCUUAGAUACCCUGGUAGACCACGCUGUAAACGGUGGGUACUAGGUGUGGGGUCCAUUCCACGGGUUCCGUGCCGUAGCUAACGCUUUAAGUACCCCGCCUGGGGAGUACGGCCGCAAGGCUAAAACUCAAAGGAAUUGACGGGGCCCCGCACAAGCGGCGGAGCAUGCGGAUUAAUUCGAUGCAACGCGUAGAACCUUACCUGGGUUUGACAUGGAUCGGGAGUGCUCAGAGAUGGGUGUGCCUCUUUUGGGGUCGGUUCACAGGUGGUGCAUGCCUGUCGUCAGCUCGUGUCGUGAGAUGUUGGGUUAAGUCCCGCAACGAGCGCAACCCUUGUUCACUGUUGCCAGCACGUUAUGGUGGGGACUCAGUGGAGACCGCCGGGGUCAACUCGGAGGGAGGUGGGGAUGACGUCAAGUCCUCAUGCCCCUUAUGUCCAGGGCUUCACGCAUGCUACAAUGGCUGGUACAGAGAGUGGCGAGCCUGUGAGGGUGAGCGAAUCUCGGAAAGCCGGUCUCAGUUCGGAUUGGGGUCUGCAACUCGACCUCAUGAAGUCGGAGUCGCUAGUAAUCGCAGAUCAGCAACGCUGCGGUGAAUACGUUCCCGGGGCU
rnacentral:rRNA from 1 species